GCUAGAACGAGAACGAGGAAGCUAGCUCCUCUAUCUCUCUCGCUCGCUCUUUACGUCCCUGUUUCCUGAUGGCUGAUACCGAAUUUGAUUUAUUUACCGGGAAAAUAAAAUAUUUCCCUCGUGAAAGAUUUUUUCUGCUAACGAAGAUGGGGCUGUGGAAGCUGAUUAUGUUGAUGGAUGAUGAUAUAGAGUUUUUACUGGAAGAGGAAUUAGUUUUGGCUUUGUACAAAAAAGCCCGUAAAGAUGAGGCCGAGGAUGGUGUAGAAGAAGGUCAUGAGGAGGAGGACGGUGACGAAGACGACGACGAGGACGAAGACAACGACGACGAUAACGAAGAGGAAGACGACGGAGACAGUGGUGUGCAGAAGGUUGUACCUUCUUCUGGUGGUCCUCCGGUUCAUUCGGUGGACGAUGAUGAGGACGAUGAUGAGGAAGACGACGAGGAUGGCGAUGACGAUGACGAUGAUGGAGAAGACGAUGGUGAUGAUGACGAUGACGAGGAGGAGGACGAUGAUGAAGCUGAAGAGGAGGAGUAUCUGGGAACAGACUACCUUGUGAGGGCAGCCGGGCGAGCCGAGGAUGAGGAAGAUGCCAGUGAUUUUGAACGGCAGUUGAAUGGCCAGGAGGAGGAAGACAUCGACGAAGAGAAGGAAGACGAUGAUGGCGAUGCCAGCGGGAAGGUUGAUGUUCCAGCAAAGAGGAAAAGGUCCGAUAAAGAUGAUUCAGGCGGCGAAGACGACAACGACGGUGGAGAUGAUGAUGAGAGACCAUCAAAGCGAUAAUAAUAUGGGCCAAGGACUGACAUUGAAAACCGUUCCGAAGAAGAACUCUUUGAAAGUGCUGGUUUAGGAUUUCUCUCUCCAAGUUAAGAAUUUAGAUAAAAGUUGUAGACUUUUGGAAGACUUUUGGAUUGAAUUUGAAGAGGAAUUAAGAUGGCAUUGCCGAGCGAAAUGAUAGGGACGUAGAUGAAUGGACGAUGAUGUCAUCGUCAUCUCGCGGCCGGCAUGGGAUGUGCAUUGCGAUCCAGAUAAACAAACAUACAUACAAAGGUGAGUGAUCGAGACAGCUGUCCCAUGUAACACCACGUUAUGGGAAGUUGGCCCCACGUUUGCCUAUUCGUAGUUAAAUCUCAACUCAUUUAGAGCAUUAGUCAUGUCUCAACAAACUUUAGCUAAAAUUUGAUUAAAAAAUUUACUUUU